UGUCUGUCUCAGGUUUGCCUCCUUGCCUAGUAUCCUGCAUGCUCUAGCUCCUGACCUCUGGUUUUGACCUUUGCCUCCACCUCCUGUGGGACUCUGGAAUGACCCUGGAUUCUGGAUUUCACAUCAAGUCAAGUACUUCCCUGCCACUGCACAAUCUCCAGUGAGCACAGCCCUGAUGAAUUUUUACAGAUAUGGUUUUAUUCUACUUGCACUACUAAGCCAUUUAAUGUAUCUUCAUGCAGAGAUGUGAAAAAGUCUAUAAAAAUGAGGAGGUUGAGGAUGAGAGCUACCAGUUAUAGAAGUCUGAAAGAUGGACAAAGUAACUUAGGAGAUUGUCAUUUUCAAGAGACUUAGGAUUACACUAGGUGGCACUGUUCAGAUCAAAUACUGCCAAAUAUGAUUAUGAUGAAGAAUCCGAUUAGUAACAGAGAAAUGUCACCUAUAUAGUUUGAAGUGAACUUUGGUCCGAAGUAAUGUUGGAUGUCAUAGCGCAGCCUAGUAAUUCCUGAGAAACCUACCUCAUUAAAAUCAGUU